rnacentral:tRNA from 1 species
UGGGUGCGUAGCUCAGUGGUAGAGCGCUACUCUGACACAGUAGAGGUCGAAGGUUCGAUUCCUUCCGCACCCACCAU